rnacentral:rRNA from 1 species
AACGUAGGUGGCGAGCGUUAUCCGGAUUUACUGGGCGUAAAGCGUGUGCAGGCGGGUGGUCAAGUGGUGUAUGAAAGCACUGCGCUCAACGCAGUGACGGUAGGCCAGACUGACCAUCUGGAGGGCGAGAGAGGGCGUGGAAUUCCGGGUGUAGUGGUGAAAUGCGUAGAGAUCCGGAGGAACCCCAGAGGCGAAGGCGGCGCCCUGGCUCGCACCUGACCGCUCAGACACGACAGCAUGGGAGCGAACGGGAUAGAAACCCUAGU